GGUAGUCUGAGUGCAGUGGUAUUCACAACUAAUUGAUCAUAACCAGUUACAGAUUCCUUUGUUCCUUCUCCACUCUUACUGCUUCACUUGACUAGCCUUUU
ensembl:misc_RNA Y_RNA Y RNA